ACCAGCGGAAGGUUGUAGCUUAGUGGUGUAGCAUCUUCCUUGCAUGCAGAAGGUCCCUGGUUCUACCCCUGGGUAGGGCUGGGA